UCGAGCUGGAGGCAAUCAGAAAAAACUGGUUCAUACCGGUACUGCAGAGAGCCGGGAGCCACAGGGAAAGGACAUGCCAGGAAUGCAGAGCUUCCUCCGUUCCUGGAACUCACUCCCACCGCACACACCACCACUUUGCUCCAAAAGCCAGGCCCUCCCACGCACAUUCUAGGCAGGGGGUGUGGACACCCACCAUCAGGGACAGAUGACCACGAGGCUGAACUGACAGGUCAGCGCGGGGCCCGAAUUCCCAGACGAAGAGGACGCUUCCUGAAGAUGACGCCUGCUCCUGGCCCAUGUGCUCCCUGCACCUGGAGGCCUGUGUGCCAUGGAGGAGAUGCUGUGUCCCCUGAAGAAUCCUGGCAACAGAAACCAGCACAUAAAACCUGGCCCAAAGAUGCCAUCCCACAUGUAUUCUCUUAUUACACUGGAAAUCCUUUAGAGAUCCUUUACCCACUUCCCCUGCAGAAUCUCUCACAGAGGCGCUUGCUCUGACCCGCAGAACCCAAGGACCCAGUCCUCACUCCGGACUCUCCCCCAGCAGGCUCCAUCUGUGCCUGUCAGUAGGCCUCUCACUAUGCUGUCCUCACCCUCGGGACAGAUGGACACCGGGGUCGCCCCACCCAGCCUGAGGACCCCCAAGUGCCUCCCAGUCAUCACGUGCUGCCUUCCUUGAU